GGUACUAAGAUCCGUAUAACUUUGGAAGCAAUAGAAGGAAAUAGAGCAUCUGAACGAAUAUCAAGUAUACAAUUAACCUUGAAAAUCAAGCCUUAGAAGUAAAAUUUGAAAGACACCUGAUCACAUGUGCCACCCCCAUCUCUGUUUGACGUCGGAAAAAAGCCAGAGGCACCAAGAAAUUAACUAACCUGCCCAAGGACCGAUGACUUGUGAAUGAUGGCAUUAGGAUUUGAAUCCAGGUCUGAUUCUAAAGUUCCACUUUUAAGUACUCAGCCCUGCCACACCUUGAGGCGAGCUUGCUGGUUCCUUGGUGAACAUGUUUCAACCUCUGACAUAUUGCAAGAAGAGGGAAAGAUACUAUCCAGAGAUGAUAUUCAAAAUACUCCGCAACAGAAUGGAUAUUGACCUCUGCGUAGAGCACAGUCCUCAAGUCUGAGGGUCUGACACUGAGCUACUGAUUGAAAUGUUUGGAUUGAGGACCUUUACAAACGUAUCUGUUGGGCAGAUAACGUUGUCAAGACUUUAAGGUAACACCGAUCUGUUCUCCUAGGCUCCAAAUACUUUUUAAAGGUUCAGCUGAAAAACAUUGCUACCUCUUGGUCCC